UGUAUUUAUUAGAUUAAAAACCAAUGCCCUUCGGGGCUCCUUGGUGAUUCAUAAUAACUUAACGAAUCGCAUGGCCUUGUGCCGGCGAUGGUUCAUUCAAAUUUCUGCCCUAUCAACUUUCGAUGGUAGUAUAUGGGACUACCAUGGUUUCAACGGGUAACGGGGAAUUAGGGUUCUAUUCCGGAGAGGGGGUCUGAGAAACGGCUACCACAUCCAAGGAAGGCAGCAGGCGCGCAAAUUACCCAAUCCCGACACGGGGAGGUAGUGACAAUAAAUACUGAUACAGGGCUCUUUUGGGUCUUGUAAUUGGAAUGAGUACAAUUUAAAUCCCUUAACGAGGAACAAUUGGAGGGCAAGUCUGGUGCCAGCAGCCGCGGUAAUACCAGCUCCAAUAGCGUAUAUUAAAGUUGUUGCAGUUAAAAAGCUCGUAGUUGAACCUUGGGCCUGGCUGGCCGGUCCGCCUCACCGCGUGCACUGGUCCGGCCGGGUCUUUCCUCCUGGGGAGCCGCAUGCCCUUCACUGGGUGUGUCGGGGAACCAGG
rnacentral:rRNA from 1 species